AGAGUUUGAUCCUGGCUCAGGAUGAACGCUGGCGGCGUGCUUAACACAUGCAAGUCGAGCGAGAAAAGUUCUUCGGAGCUUUUCUAGCGGCGGACGGGUGAGUAACACGUGGGCAACCUGCCUCAUAGAGGGGAAUAGCCUUCCGAAAGGAAGAUUAAUACCGCAUAACAUUGUUGAAAGGCAGCUUUUAACAAUCAAAGGAGCAAUCCGCUAUGAGAUGGGCCCGCGGCGCAUUAGCUAGUUGGUGAGGUAACGGCUCACCAAGGCGACGAUGCGUAGCCGACCUGAGAGGGUGAUCGGCCACAUUGGAACUGAGACACGGUCCAGACUCCUACGGGAGGCAGCAGUGGGGAAUAUUGCACAAUGGGGGAAACCCUGAUGCAGCAACGCCGCGUGAGUGAUGAAGGUCUUCGGAUUGUAAAGCUCUGUCUUUAGGGACGAUAAUGACGGUACCUAAGGAGGAAGCCACGGCUAACUACGUGCCAGCAGCCGCGGUAAUACGUAGGUGGCAAGCGUUAUCCGGAUUUACUGGGCGUAAAGGGAGCGUAGGCGGAUAUUUAAGUGGGAUGUGAAAUACCUGAGCUUAACUUGGGAGCUGCAUUCCAAACUGGAUAUCUAGAGUGCAGGAGAGGAGAAUGGAAUUCCUAGUGUAGCGGUGA
rnacentral:rRNA from 1 species